rnacentral:rRNA from 1 species
UUCCGGUUGAUCCCGCCGGAAGUUACUGCUAUCGAGGUUCGACUAAGCCAUGCGAGUCGAAUGUAGCAAUACAUGGCGAACUGCUCAGUAACACGUGGACAACCUGCCCUUAGGACGGGGAUAAACCCGGGAAACUGGGUAUAAUACCCGAUAGGUCUCGAUUGCUGGAAUGCAUCGAGAUUUAAAGCUCCGGCGCCUAAGGAUGGGUCUGCGGCCUAUCAGGUAGUAGUGGGUGUAGCGUACCUACUAGCCUACGACGGGUACGGGUUGUGAGAGCAAGAGCCCGGAGAUGGAUUCUGAGACACGAAUCCAGGCCCUACGGGGUGCAGCAGGCGCGAAAACUUUACAAUGCUGGCAACAGCGAUAAGGGAACCUCGAGUGCCAGGUUACAAAUCUGGCUGUCGAGAUGCCUAAAAAGCAUUUCAUAGCAAGGGCCGGGCAAGACCGGUGCCAGCCGCCGCGGUAACACCGGCGGCUCGAGUGGUAACCGUUAUUAUUGGGUCUAAAGGGUCUGUAGCCGGCCGGAUAAGUCUCUUGAGAAAUCUGGCAGCUUAACUGUCAGGCUUUCAGGAGAUACUGUCUGGCUCGAGGCCGGGAGAGGUGAGAGGUACUUCAGGGGUAGGGGUGAAAUCUUGUAAUCCUUGAAGGACCACCAGUGGCGAAGGCGUCUCACCAGAACGGACCUGACGGCAAGGGACGAAAGCUAGGGGCACGAACCGGAUUAGAUACCCGGGUAGUCCUAGCCGUAAACGAUACUCGCUAGGUGUCGGCCACGGUGCGACCGUUGUCGGUGCCGUAGGGAAGCCGUGAAGCGAGCCACCUGGGAAGUACGGCCGCAAGGCUGAAACUUAAAGGAAUUGGCGGGGGAGCACCACAACGGGUGGAGCUUGCGGUUUAAUUGGAGUCAACGCCGGG